CUGUCCCACGAGGUCGCGAGAGUUGGCCCGGUGGGCGCGAGCGCACUUCCGCUACAGCCGGAGGCCCCACGGGUCGCGGCAGGUGGCCGGGGAGCUGGCUGAUGUUACAGGUCUCGGCCCUGCCGGUCCCGCUCCCGUCCCCGCUGCCCCGCCCCACGGUGAGCGAGGCCUGGUACACCUGGAAUUGGUGCCACUUUGUAAUGCUCCGCCGCGUGGGUGCCAGUCCCAGGCACGACCUGCGCGGUGCGAGUCUCGUCACCGGUGCAAGUGCCAGGAGAAAGCACCUGCGCGUCGAGGGGCAAGACACGGGAAGCCGAGGAGCAGAGUUCCUGUCUCGUACACGCGGGAAACCCGGGGAUGUAGGGGCACAGAACAGACGUUAGUUUAUUACUAACAUUUGGACAAUUUAUAAACCGGGUGAUUCCAACAUUU